GAGAUGGUUCUCUUUGAGGUCCGUCAUCGGAAUGGGUACAAUAUAAAUCCUUUAACGAUGAUCUAUUGGAGGGCAAGUCUGGUGCCAGCAGCCGCGGUAAUUCCAGCUCCAAUAGCGUAUAUUAAAGUUGCUGCAGUUAAAAUGCUCGUAGUUGGAUCUGCGGUCUAGGAUGCCGGUCCCCCAUCGGGUGUGCACUGGUUUUCCGGGCCUAAUCGGCCGGUUUGCGCAUUUUGCUCUUAACUGAGUGGUUUGUGCGGCUGGCGAGUUUACUUUGAAAAAAUUAGAGUGCUCAAAGCAGGCGUCCGCCUGAAUAGUGGUGCAUGGAAUAAUGGAAUAGGAUCUCGGUUCUAUUUUGUUGGUUUUCGGAACUGAGGUAAUGAUUAAGAGGGACGGACGGGGGCAUUUGUAUUGUGGCGCUAGAGGUGAAAUUCUUGGAUCGCUGCAAGACAGACUACUGC
rnacentral:rRNA from 1 species